UAUCCGGAUUUAUUGGGUUUAAAGGGUGCGUAGGCGGUUUGAUAAGUUAGAGGUGAAAUUUCGGGGCUCAACCCUGAACGUGCCUCUAAUACUGUUGAGCUAGAGAGUAGUUGCGGUAGGCGGAAUGUAUGGUGUAGCGGUGAAAUGCUUAGAGAUCAUACAGAACACCGAUUGCGAAGGCAGCUUACCAAACUAUAUCUGACGUUGAGGCACGAAAGCGUGGGGAGCAAACAGGAUUAGAUACCCUGGUAGUCCACGCAGUAAACGAUGAUAACUCGUUGUCGGCGAUACACAGUCGGUGACUAAGCGAAAGCGAUAAGUUAUCCACCUGGGGAGUACGUUCGCAAGAAUGAAACUCAAAGGAAUUGACGGGGGCCCGCACAAGCGGAGGAACAUGUGGUUUAAUUCGAUGAUACGCGAGGAACCUUACCCGGGCUUGAAAGUUAGCGACGAUUCUUGAAAGAGGAUUUCCCUUCGGGGCGCGAAACUAGGUGCUGCAUGGUUGUCGUCAGCUCGUGCCGUGAGGUGUCGGGUUAAGUCCCAUAACGAGCGCAACCCCUACCGUUAGUUGCCAUCAGGUCAAGCUGGGCACUCUGGCGGGACUGCCGGUGUAAGCCGAGAGGAAGGUGGGGAUGACGUCAAAUCAGCACGGCCCUUACGUCCGGGGCUACACACGUGUUACAAUGGUAGGUACAGAGGGCAGCUACCCAGCGAUGGGAUGCGAAUCUCGAAAGCCUAUCUCAGUUCGGAUUGGAGGCUGAAACCCGCCUCCAUGAAGUUGGAUUCGCUAGUAAUCGCGCAUCAGCCAUG
rnacentral:rRNA from 1 species